CUAUGGUGCUGCUAGUAGUAUUUUUUUCAGUUUUAAAACAUUUUUGUUAAAGAGCAAAGUUGCACUGUGUUUAGCGGGCAGUAUGCGCCCUCUACUGGUUUGUUGGCAAUACAGCUUCCUAGCUUUUGAGCCUAACUAUUAUGCUGGCUUUCUUUUCGUGUUAGGCAUUCCCUGUUGAAGCUAUUGAGACCAAAAUCUGUAUCUACUUUGCUCUAUAUGCUUUUUAUAUAGUGAACUUGACUGAGAGAGGAGAAACAAAUACACAGACUGAAGCUGA